rnacentral:rRNA from 1 species
AGAGUUUGAUCCUGGCUCAGGAUGAACGCUGGCGGCGUGCCUAACACAUGCAAGUCGAGCGAAGCGGUUUUAAGGAAGUUUUCGGAUGGAAUCAAGACUGACUGAGCGGCGGACGGGUGAGUAACGCGUGGGUAACCUGCCUCAUACAGGGGGAUAACAGUUAGAAAUGACUGCUAAUACCGCAUAAGCGCACAGCUUCGCAUGAAGCGGUGUGAAAAACUCCGGUGGUAUGAGAUGGAUCCGCGUCUGAUUAGCUGGUUGGUAAGGUAACGGCUUACCAAGGCGACGAUCAGUAGCCGACCUGAGAGGGUGACCGGCCACAUUGGGACUGAGACACGGCCCAAACUCCUACGGGAGGCAGCAGUGGGGAAUAUUGCACAAUGGGGGAAACCCUGAUGCAGCGACGCCGCGUGAGUGAAGAAGUAUUUCGGUAUGUAAAGCUCUAUCAGCAGGGAAGAAAAUGACGGUACCUGACUAAGAAGCCCCGGCUAACUACGUGCCAGCAGCCGCGGUAAUACGUAGGGGGCAAGCGUUAUCCGGAUUUACUGGGUGUAAAGGGAGCGUAGACGGCGGAGCAAGUCUGAAGUGAAAGCCCGGGGCUCAACCCCGGGACUGCUUUGGAAACUGUUCUGCUAGAGUGCUGGAGAGGUAAGUGGAAUUCCUAGUGUAGCGGUGAAAUGCGUAGAUAUUAGGAGGAACACCAGUGGCGAAGGCGGCUUACUGGACAGUAACUGACGUUGAGGCUCGAAAGCGUGGGGAGCAAACAGGAUUAGAUACCCUGGUAGUCCACGCCGUAAACGAUGAAUGCUAGGGGUUGGAAGGCCAAAAGCCCUUCGGGGCCGCCGCCAAACGCAAUAAGCAUUCCCACCCUGGUNGAGUACGUUCCCAAGAAAGAAAACUCAAAGGAAUUGACGGGGACCGCACAAGCGGGUGGAGCAUGUGGUUUAAUUUCGAAGCAACGCGAAGAACCUUACCAAGUUCUUGACAUCCCCUCUGACCGUCCCGUAAUGGGGACUUCCCUUCGGGGCAGAGGAGACAGGUGGUGCAUGGUUGUCGUCAGCUCGUGUCGUGAGAUGUUGGGUUAAGUCCCGCAACGAGCGCAACCCUUAUCCUUAGUAGCCAGCACAUGAUGGUGGGCACUCUAGGGAGACUGCCGGGGAUAACCCGGAGGAAGGCGGGGACGACGUCAAAUCAUCAUGCCCCUUAUGAUUUGGGCUACACACGUGCUACAAUGGCGUAAACAAAGGGAAGCGAGACAGCGAUGUUGAGCGAAUCCCAAAAAUAACGUCCCAGUUCGGACUGCAGUCUGCAACUCGACUGCACGAAGCUGGAAUCGCUAGUAAUCGCGGAUCAGAAUGCCGCGGUGAAUACGUUCCCGGGUCUUGUACACACCGCCCGUCA